rnacentral:rRNA from 1 species
GAGCUUUAAACCCAAUUAUAUCUCUAACCACUAUAACCAUUUAACCACUUAGAACUUAUAUACUUGGUUUUAGGUUGGGGCGACCACGGAGCACAACCAAACCUCCACGAUGAACGGAACAACCCCCUUAUCUGAGAAUUACACUUCUAAGAAUUAGCACACUAACAUAAAAUGACCCAUUAUUGAUCAACGAACCAAGUUACCCUGGGGAUAACAGCGCAAUCCAUUUUAAGAGCCCCUAUCGACAAAU